rnacentral:rRNA from 1 species
CAACUCGCCUGCAUGAAGUCGGAAUUGCUAGUAAUCGUAGGUCAGCAUACUACGGUGAAUACGUUCCCGGGCCUUGUACACACCGCCCGUCACACCAUGGGAGUUGGGGAUACCCGAAGCCUGUGAGCUAACUAUUUAUAGGAGCAGCAGUCGAAGGUAGAAUCAAUGAUUGGGGUGAAGUCGUAACAAGGUAUC